rfam:Salmo salar isolate Sally breed double haploid chromosome ssa01, whole genome shotgun sequence.
UGCAUUCACUACUGUAAGUUGCUCUGGAUAAGAGCGUCUGCUAAAUUACUAGAA